GACGAACGCUGGCGGCAGGCUUAACACAUGCAAGUCGAACGCAUCCUUCGGGAUGAGUGGCAGACGGGUGAGUAACGCGUGGGAACGUGCCCUUCAGUUCGGGAUAACCCAGGGAAACUUGGGCUAAUACCGGAUACGUGCGAGAGCAGUAAGAUUUAUCGCUGAAGGAUCGGCCCGCGUCUGAUUAGCUAGUUGGUGGGGUAAUGGCCCACCAAGGCGACGAUCAGUAGCUGGUCUGAGAGGAUGAUCAGCCACAUUGGGACUGAGACACGGCCCAAACUCCUACGGGAGGCAGCAGUGGGGAAUAUUGGACAAUGGGCGCAAGCCUGAUCCAGCCAUGCCGCGUGAGUGAUGAAGGCCUUAGGGUUGUAAAGCUCUUUCGUCCGGGACGAUAAUGACGGUACCGGAAGAAGAAGCCCCGGCUAACUUCGUGCCAGCAGCCGCCGUAA
rnacentral:rRNA from 1 species